rnacentral:rRNA from 1 species
UACGGAGGGUGCAAGCGUUAUCCGGAUUCACUGGGUUUAAGGGUGCGUAGGCGGACAGGUAAGUCAGUGGUGAAAUCUCUGGGCUUAACCCAGAAACUGCCGUUGAUACUAUUUGUCUUGAAUAUCCUGGAGGUAGGCGGAAUAUGUCAUGUAGCGGUGAAAUGCUUAGAUAUGACAUAGAACACCAAUUGCGAAGGCAGCUGGCUACACAUAUAUUGACACUGAGGCACGAAAGCGUGGGGAUCAAACAGG